AAAUAGUAAAUACAUCAGCAAAGAACAAAUCCUAAUAUUCCUUUUUUUUAUUUUUAUUUUUAUUUUGGUUCAGUUAUUAUAAAGACAAAGAGGAAAAAAAAGCAAAUCUUUGUCUCUGGGUGUGAGGAGACAGGUGUAGGGUUGAGAUGAAAUCUGUGGAGGGGUGCGUCUCCCCACAUAACUUUUUGCCGGCUUCUUCAACGGCUUUUUCGCUUCAACUCACCCGUCCUUCGACGUCGUUUUAUCCCCACCCUCUCUAUUCCGUCUCUCGUCUACAGUGCCCUCCGCUUACACCUGCUUUUUCGUUGUCCUAUGAAUUUGGUCGAAAAGCACUUGUCCUUCUUCUUAUUUUCCCCCUAAAUCUAUCUCUCUUAUACUGGUUGUAAUUUGUUAUUCUGUUGCAGAUAUUGGUCUGAAAUUCUCCUUUGCCGUCUUCAAUCGCCACUUGCCGCUCCAACCCUCGCCAAAUCGCAAUAGCUGAAAUGAAUGGAGAUAGACCAGAUUCUCAUUACACGGAGACGGGAUUCCCGUAUGCCGCUAGUUACAUGGACUUUUAUGGUGGUGCGGCUCAGGAUGAUCCCCUAAACUAUGCUCAUGCCGGAACAAUGCAUCCUCCUCAUCAGGACAGCCUGUACUGGACCAUGAACACAAAUGCAUACAAAUUUGGAUUUUCAGGAUCAGAUAAUGCUGCUUUCUAUGGUUCUUAUGACCUGAACGAUCAUCUAUCCAGGAUGUCAAUUGGGAGAACCAAUUGGGAGUACCACCUUCCCUUGGUAAACGUUGAUGAGUCAGUUCCACGCUCUGGGGACACCGAUGAUCACUCAGACGCUGAAGAAUGCAUUGCAAUUGAACAUGAUCCCGAGAGUCCUCAGGUAUCCUGGCAAGACGACAUUGAUCCCGAUACAAUGACCUAUGAGGAAUUAAUAGAGCUCGGGGAAGCGGUAGGAUCAGAAAGCCGAGGGCUAUCUCAGGAACUCAUUGAAACGCUUCCCACUAGAAAAUACAAGUUCGGGAGCUUCUUCUCCAGGAAAAGAGCAGGGGAUAGCUCAAGUACAAGAUUGGGGAGAAGCAGAUGAAUCUUCCGUGCAAGCACGUGUAUCAUUCUGAAUGCAUAUCUAAGUGGCUAAACAUCAACAAGAUUUGCCCGGUCUGUAACAGCGAGGUCUUUGGGGAGCCCAGCAUCCAUUGAUUGUCUCCAUUAAGUUAAUUGUUUUAGUAUAAUGAAAACUCAGAAGAAGAAGCAAAAUUAGUCUAAAAGAAGAAGAUGUCCACACUAUACUAAUUCUGUACAUGUAAUUUUUCAUUCUAGUUUCAUUUUCGUUUAUGUGUGUAUUGUAACACUCGUAUUGUAUACUAAAUGCUAGCUACAACCAUAUAAGCUAAAUCACGGGGAUGGUCCCUAUCCUUAAGGUUUCAAGGCUUCAAAUGGUAUUUUCCCCUC